AAUCAUUAUACAACAUAUCUUUUUCUCAUUUACCAGCCUACUAGUAUCCGUGGGGGUCCAUAGGGGUCCCGCUACCCGUUAACCUUUAACAUUCAUAAUCAGUUUUCAGGGCCGUCCCCAUACCCCGUCCGGUAUGGGCGCCAAAACCAUAAACCUCAAUACCCCGUCCGGUAUGAGGGUGAAACGGGCCGUCCCCAUACCCCGUCCAGUAUGGGCGCCAAAACCAUAAACCUCAAUACCCCGUCCGGUAUGAGGGUGAAACGGGCCGUCCCCAUACCCCGUCCGGUAUGGGCGCUAAAACCAUAAGAUCUUCAUGCCCCGUCCGGCAUGUGAGACCACAAUCCCGGUAGGGUUCCCUACGGACCCGGUCCGUCCACCAUCUCCCAUGAUAUCUAGUCAGGCUGACCCCAUAAUACAAUUAUCAGUCUACACAAUCUUUUAUUUUCCUUUUCCUCAGUCAGCAUCAUCAAUUCACAUUUAAACAAGCAAAUCGUAAUUCAUGCCAAACAGACAACAUAC
rnacentral:lncRNA from 1 species